GGGAAUUCUCAGGGCGGGGUGAAAUUCCCCACCGGCGGUAGUCCUCAAAAGGGAGAGCCCGCGAGCGCUUGCAUAGCACACUUCAUCGCCAUGCAAGGUCAGCAGAUCUGGUGCAGUGUAUUGAGACAUACAUGAUUCCAGAGCCGACGGUUAAAGUCCGGAUGGAAGAGGAUUUCA
rnacentral:ncRNA from 1 species